rnacentral:rRNA from 1 species
GACGAACGCUUGCGGCGUGCUUAACACAUGCAAGUCGAACGGAAAGGCCCUGCUUUUGUGGGGUGCUCGAGUGGCGAACGGGUGAGUAACACGUGAGUAACCUGCCCUUGACUUUGGGAUAACUUCAGGAAACUGGGGCUAAUACCGGAUAGGAGCUCCUGCUGCAUGGUGGGGGUUGGAAAGUUUCGGCGGUUGGGGAUGGACUCGCGGCUUAUCAGCUUGUUGGUGGGGUAGUGGCUUACCAAGGCUUUGACGGGUAGCCGGCCUGAGAGGGUGACCGGCCACAUUGGGACUGAGAUACGGCCCAGACUCCUACGGGAGGCAGCAGUGGGGAAUAUUGCACAAUGGGCGGAAGCCUGAUGCAGCAACGCCGCGUGCGGGAUGACGGCCUUCGGGUUGUAAACCGCUUUCGCCUGUGACGAAGCGUGAGUGACGGUAAUGGGUAAAGAAGCACCGGCUAACUACGUGCCAGCAGCCGCGGUGAUACGUAGGGUGCGAGCGUUGUCCGGAUUUAUUGGGCGUAAGGGGCUCGUAGGUGGUUGAUCGCGUCGGAAGUGUAAUCUUGGGGCUUAACCCUGAGCGUGCUUUCGAUACGGGUUGACUUGAGGAAGGUAGGGGAGAAUGGAAUUUCCUGGUGGAGCGGUGGAAUGCGCAGAUAUCAGGAGGAACACCAGUGGCGAAGGCGGUUCUCUGGGCCUUUCCUGACGCUGAGGAGCGAAAGCGUGGGGAGCGAACAGGCUUAGAUACCCUGGUAGUCCACGCUGUAAACGGUGGGUACUAGGUGUGGGGUCCAUUCCACGGGUUCCGUGCCGUAGCUAACGCUUUAAGUACCCCGCCUGGGGAGUACGGCCGCAAGGCUAAAACUCAAAGGAAUUGACGGGGCCCCGCACAAGCGGCGGAGCAUGCGGAUUAAUUCGAUGCAACGCGUAGAACCUUACCUGGGUUUGACAUGGAUCGGGAGUGCUCAGAGAUGGGUGUGCCUCUUUUGGGGUCGGUUCACAGGUGGUGCAUGCCUGUCGUCAGCUCGUGUCGUGAGAUGUUGGGUUAAGUCCCGCAACGAGCGCAACCCUUGUUCACUGUUGCCAGCACGUUAUGGUGGGGACUCAGUGGAGACCGCCGGGGUCAACUCGGAGGAAGGUGGGGAUGACGUCAAGUCAUCAUGCCCCUUAUGUCCAGGGCUUCACGCAUGCUACAAUGGCUGGUACAGAGAGUGGCGAGCCUGUGAGGGUGAGCGAAUCUCGGAAAGCCGGUCUCAGUUCGGAUUGGGGUCUGCAACUCGACCUCAUGAAGUCGGAGUCGCUAGUAAUCGCAGAUCAGCAACGCUGCGGUGAAUACGUUCCCGGGGCU